rnacentral:misc_RNA from 1 species
AAACAUUCAAGCUCAGCUUGGUGUUGGGUGCUUGUCCUCCCCCGCGGUGGACUCACCUCAAAUGCAUUGGCGGCCGGUAUGUUGGCUUCGAGCGCAGUAGAAACGCGCCAGACGUCCUGACAUGCUGGUCCCCCACAAGACCUUCUUUUA